GUAAGGAAUAUUGGACAAUGGACGCAAGUCUGAUCCAGCCAUGCCGCGUGAAGGAUUAAGGUCCUCUGGAUUGUAAACUUCUUUUAUAAGGGACGAAAAAAGGCUUUUCUAAGUCGUCUGACGGUACCUUAUGAAUAAGCACCGGCUAACUCCGUGCCAGCAGCCGCGGUAAUACGGAGGGUGCAAGCGUUAUCCGGAUUCACUGGGUUUAAAGGGUGCGUAGGCGGGCAGGUAAGUCAGUGGUGAAAUCCUAGAGCUUAACUCUAGAACUGCCAUUGAUACUAUCUGUCUUGAAUAUUGUGGAGGUAAGCGGAAUAUGUCAUGUAGCGGUGAAAUGAUUAGAUAUGACAUAGAACACCUAUUGCGAAGGCAGCUUACUACGCAUAUAUUGACGCUGAGGCACGAAAGCGUGGGGAUCAAACAGGAUUAGAUACCCCGGUAGUCC
rnacentral:rRNA from 1 species